rnacentral:rRNA from 1 species
CCUACGGGAGGCAGCAGUGGGGAAUAUUGCACAAUGGGGGAAACCCUGAUGCAGCGACGCCGCGUGGGUGAUGAAGUGUUUCGGUGUGUAAAGCCCUAUCAGCAGGGAAGAAAAUGACGGUACCUGACUAAGAAGCCCCGGCUAACUACGUGCCAGCAGCCGCGGUAAUACGUAGGGGGCAAGCGUUAUCCGGAUUUACUGGGUGUAAAGGGAGCGUAGACGGCGGUGCAAGCCAGAUGUGAAAGCCCGGGGCUCAACCCCGGGACUGCAUUUGGAACUGUGCUGCUAGAGUGUCGGAGAGGCAGGCGGAAUUCCUGGUGUAGCGGUGAAAUGCGUAGAGAUCAGGAGGAACACCAGUGGCGAAGGCGGCCUGCUGGACGAUAACUGACGUUGAGGCGCGAAAGCGUGGGGAGCAAACAGGAUUAGAUACCCGAGUAGUC